rnacentral:rRNA from 1 species
AUUGAACGCUGGCGGCAGGCCUAACACAUGCAAGUCGAACGCGUGGCGGACGGGUGAUUAAUGUCUGGGAAACUGCCCGAUGGAGGGGGAUAACUACUGGAAACGUUAACUCAUACCGCAUACCAUCGGAUGUUCCCACAUGGUAUUCGCUUGUAGGUGGGGUAACGCCUCACCUAGGCGACGAUCCCUCGCUGGUCUGAGCGGAUGACCAGCCACACUGGAACUGAGACACGGUCCAGACUCCUACGGGAGGCAGCAGUGGGGAAUAUUGCACAAUGGGCGCAAGCCUGAUGCAGCCAUGCCGCGUGUAUGAAGAAGGCCUUCGGGUUGUAAAGUACUUUCAGCGAGGAGGCGUUACUCACAGAAGAAGCACCGGCUAACUCCGUGCCAGCAGCCGCGGUAAUUC